rnacentral:rRNA from 1 species
GGCGACACCGCGCGGAACCCGAAAGCCGUUCUCAGUUCGGAUCGGAGUCUGCAACCCGACUCCGUGAAGCUGGAUUCGCUAGUAAUCGCGCAUCAGCCAUGGCGCGGUGAAUACGUUCCCGGGCCUUGUACACACCGCCCGUCAAGCCAUGGGAGCCGGGGGUGCUUGAAGUGCGUCGCCGCAAGGCGCGCCCUAGAGCAAAACCGGUGACUGGGGCUAAGUCGUAACAAGGUACC